rnacentral:pre_miRNA from 1 species
UUUGUACUCCCUCUGUCCCAAAAUUCUUGUCUUAAAUUUGUCUAAAUACGGAUGUAUCUAGUUACAUUUUAGUCUUAGAUACAUCCGUAUCUAAACAAAUAUAAGACAAGAAUUUUGGGACGGGGGGAAUACUAC